CCUACGGGUGGCAGCAGUAGGGAAUCUUCCACAAUGGGCGAAAGCCUGAUGGAGCAACGCCGCGUGGGUGAAGAAGGUCUUCGGAUCGUAAAACCCUGUUGUUAGAGAAGAAAGUGCGUGAGAGUAACUGUUCACGUUUCGACGGUAUCUAACCAGAAAGCCACGGCUAACUACGUGCCAGCAGCCGCGGUAAUACGUAGGUGGCAAGCGUUAUCCGGAUUUAUUGGGCGUAAAGGGAACGCAGGCGGUCUUUUAAGUCUGAUGUGAAAGCCUUCGGCUUAACCGGAGUAGUGCAUUGGAAACUGGGAGACUUGAGUGCAGAAGAGGAGAGUGGAACUCCAUGUGUAGCGGUGAAAUGCGUAGAUAUAUGGAAGAACACCAGUGGCGAAGGCGACGAUCUGGGAAGAAACAGACGCUGAGUCCCGAAAGCGUGGGGAGCAAAUAGGAUUAGAUACCCUAGUAGUC
rnacentral:rRNA from 1 species